rnacentral:rRNA from 1 species
UGCCAGACUCCUACGGGAGGCAGCAGUGGGGAAUAUUGCACAAUGGGGGGAACCCUGAUGCAGCGACGCCGCGUGGGUGAAGGAGCACCUCGGUGCGUAAAGCCCUAUCGGCAGGGAAGAAAAGCGAACAGGUUCGCCUGGACGGUACCUGACUAAGAAGCCCCGGCUAACUACGUGCCAGCAGCCGCGGUAAUACGUAGGGGGCAAGCGUUAUCCGGAUUUACUGGGUGUAAAGGGGGCGCAGACGGCAGCGCAAGCCAGGAGUGAAAGCCCGGGGCCCAACCCCGGGACUGCUCUUGAAACUGCGCGGCUGGAGUGCAGGAGGGGCAGGCGGAAUUCCUGGUGUAGCGGUGAAAUGCGUAGAUAUCAGGAGGAACACCGGCGGCGAAGGCGGCCUGCUGGACCGUGACUGACGUUGAGGCUCGAGAGCGUGGGGAGCAAACAGGAUUAGAUACCCUGGUA